UACGUAGGGUGCGAGCGUUAAUCGGAAUUACUGGGCGUAAAGCGUGCGCAGGCGGUUUUGUAAGCCAGAUGUGAAAUCCCCGGGCUUAACCUGGGAAUGGCAUUUGGGACUGCAAGGCUUGAGUGCGGCAGAGGAGACUGGAAUUCCUGGUGUAGCAGUGAAAUGCGUAGAUAUCAGGAAGAACACCUAUGGCGAAGGCAGCUCUCUGGGACGGUACUGACGCUGAGACGCGAAAGCGUGGGGAGCGAACAGG
rnacentral:rRNA from 1 species